rnacentral:sRNA from 12 species
ACAGUGGUCGCUGAGUUAGAGCUUGACAGCGUAAAACCACCGCCGGACAUGAUCGAAGAGG